rnacentral:lncRNA from 1 species
GGCUGAAUAAAUAACCCUGAGUCCCUGCAGUGCGUGUGAGCAGCGUUCACCUCCAUAAUUGAAAUGCGUUCAGAGAGAACUUGAGUUUUACCUUCCUAAUUCAUUCUCUGGACUUUGGAUAAGCCCAAAUCACAGCAAGCUUCUGGCUGUGUACUAGUGCUGGACGAGUUCAUGUCCCAUCACGUGUGCACCAGGGCAAUCCUGGAGGCCUCUUUCUCCAUCAAGGCAUUCCACAGACACAGCAUGUCAAUCCAUCCUCUUUGCAGAAUUCCCAGGAGCGAUGUGCACGAGGUGAGUAAAGCUGGAGCUGAUGAGCUCAACCCCUCCCUUCUCUUCCCUGUUUUACACCUUUCCGCCAGCUCCAGCAGUGAAGCGGUUCUGACCUCAUCCUGCUCUCUGUUUUAGCAGCAUCCCAACUCUCUCAGCUGAGAUUCACUGGACCCCAUGGGGCUCUGCAGGGGCUUAAAACAUCCCCACCGCCUUCUGCCUCGGAUAGCAGGUAAUAAUUCACCCCCAAAUAACACCUUACUGAGCAAAGCUGAACGCAGUGCUCCCCAAAGAGGCGGCCCGU